CCCUUAGAUGUUCUGGGCCGCACGCGUGCUACACUGAGUGGAUCAGCGGGUCAGGUUGCGCGAAAGUGUUUCCUAAUCUUGAAAUCCGCUCGUGAUGGGGAUUGACGGUUGCAAUUUUCCGUCAUGAACGAGGAAUACCUUGUAAGCGCGGGUCAUCAUCCCGCGCUGAAUACGUCCCUGCCCUUUGUACACACCGCCCGUCGCUCCUACCGAUUGAGUGGUCCGGUGAGGCUUUGGGAUCUGAGCGGAAAGAGCGUUUCGCUGUUUCUGCUAGGAAAACUCAGUCGAACCUUAUCAUUUAGAGGAAGGAGAAGUCGUAACA
rnacentral:rRNA from 1 species